UGAAGCUGGAAUCGCUAGUAAUCGCAGGUCAGCAUACUGCGGUGAAUACGUUCCCGGGUCUUGUACACACCGCCCGUCACACCAUGGGAGCCGGAAAUGCCCGAAGCCAGUGACCCAACCUUAGGGAGGGAGCUGUCGAAGGUGGAGCCGGUAACUGGGGUGAAGUCGUAACAAGGUAGC
rnacentral:rRNA from 1 species